CCUCAAAGUUCAGGGGGAACAUAUUACAAGAGCACGAGGGAUUCUACACUGCUUCAAGAGCAGCUGAUGCCUGAUGGGUACAGGUAUCCUUCUGAUUGAGUAGGGUCAUGGGGACCUUGUAUUGAAUUGUUCA
rnacentral:lncRNA from 1 species